AGAAAGGCCAAGAAAAAGAAGGUGGGCCUAGGCCCCUGCUGUUGUGAGGAAACAGGAGGGCAAAAAGGUGGUAAAUCUCCUGUUUGAGAAAAGGCCCAAUAAUUUGGGUACUGGACAGGACAUCUAGCCCAAAAGGGAGCUCAUCCACCUUGUCAAACGGCCCUGCUACAUCCAGCUGCCACAGCAAAAGCCUGUCUCCUAUAAGCAGUUGAAAGUGCUUCACAAAAUUAACCAGUCCACACAGGCGUUGGACCACCAAACAGCUACUUAUCUGCUUAAGCUUGCCCACAAGUACAGACAAGAGGCAAAGCAAGGGAAGCAGCACAUACUGUUGGAUCCAGGUAGAGAAGAAAGCUGCCAGCAAUGGGGAUGUCUCCACUAAGAGACGUCCAGUCCUUCCAGCAGGUGUUAACACUGUCACUUCCUUGGUGAAGAACAAGAAGGCUCAGCUGGUGGUUACUGUACAUAACAUGGAUCUCAUAGAACUGGUUAUGUUUCUGCCUGCUAUGUGAUGUUAGGUGGAGAUUUCUUACUGGAUUAUCAAGGAGAAGGCCAGAUGGGGACAACUAAUCCAGAGGAAGACUUACACCACCACUGCCUUCACACCGGUUAACUCGGAAGACAUAAGGAGCUCUGGCUAAGCUGGUGGGCACAAUGGCAGAUAUAAUGAGAUCUGCCAUCUCUAGAGAGGCAAGUUCUGGACCUAAAAUCUGUGACUCAAAUUGCCAAUCUGGAAAAGGCAAAGUCUAAAAUAACUUGCCACUAAAG
rnacentral:lncRNA from 1 species